GUCUUGAAGCCGCUCCUCCGAACCGGUUUUACCCCGGGGAGCGGGCAGGUCUCGGCGCUGCAACUGCUGUGCUCGCUUCGCUGUUCCCCGCGGACCGCAGCGGGCUCAGGUGUGCGUUAGCUCGGGUCAGUGCCAUGAUCCGCCAGGAGCUCUCCACAUCCUACCAGGAGCUGAGUGAGGAGUUGGAUCAGGUGGUUGAGAACUCAGAGCAGUCGGACGAACGGGAAAAGGAGACAGUCAAAGUCCAGGGUCCGGGGAUCUUACCAGCCCUGGACAGCGAGUCCGCCUCCAGCAGCAUCCGCUUCAGCAAGGCCUGCCUGAAAAACGUCUUCUCAGUCCUGCUUAUCUUCAUCUAUCUGCUCCUCAUGGCCGUGGCCGUCUUCCUAGUCUACCAGACCAUCACAGACUUCCGUGAGAAACUCAAGCACCCAGUCAUGUCAGUGUCGUACAAGGAGGUGGACCGCUACGACGCCCCAGGCAUUGCCCUGUACCCCGGUCAGGCCCAGCUGCUCAGCUGUAAGCACCAUUACGAGGUCAUUCCACCUCUGAGGAGCCCCGGCCAGCCAGGAGACUUGAACUGCACCACCCACAGGAUCAACUACACGGACCCCUUCUCCAAUCAGACUCUGCCCUCCAGGCUGGCUGUGGCCUUUGUCUCUGCAGAAAUCUGCCCUGAUUGUGCAGGGGCCCCGGGAAGUAAAGAAGCGGGAGCUGGUCUUCCUCCAGUUUCGCCUGAACCAGAGCCGCGAGGACUUCAGUGCCAUCGAUUACCUCCUCUUCUCGUCCUUCCAGGAGUUCCUGCAAAGCCCAGACAGGGUAGGCUUCAUGCAGGCCUGCGAGAGUGCCUAUUCCAGCUGGAAGUUCUCGGGGGGCUUUCGCACCUGGGUCAAGAUGUCCCUGGUGAAGACCAAGGAGGAGGAUGGGCGGGAGGCGGUGGAGUUCCGGCAGGAGGUAGGUGGUGCUGGGCUCCCUUCCCUCUGCCACUGACUCCACCCUGAGUCCGGCUGCAGGGAAGCUCACAGAGGGGGCGACCUUGCACAGGGUCUUCAGGGCGGGUCUACCUUCACCAAGAUGAAAGGGGAACCCCUGCCAGGGAGUCGGGUUCUUCUCUGGGCAGUGCCCUUUGCCUCCAUCACAGCAGCCCUCACAGAGCACACAGGUGGAGUGUUUCACAGAGUGGGUACCUCGACCUGCUGUGUCUGACACCAGAGCCUGGGUUCUUACCUCUGCACCCCUGGUGCCCUGACAGGCUGGUGGCUGCAUAGAAAUUUGAUUAUUUACAGGGAAGAGAGUAGAUACAGUAGCCUCUAAGUGCUGGGUGUGUGGUGAUCCAUUGGGAUGCAAGAAGAAAAUAGUAGUUUUCUUUUGAUUAAUUUUUAAAUUUCAUCCUUUUACUAUUUUUAAAAUGCAUGUAACAUUAGAACAAUAAUAGUAAGUUGCAUCACUUGCAAGACAGUUACGUGUUGGGUACAUGCUCAAAAUUUUUUAUUGGUGGGGAAGUGCGAUUAGAAAGCUUUCAGCCCAGUGGCCUGGAGCUAGGAGACACGCUGGGAGUUUCCAGCUGUGAUCCCGGCAAGAGAUGGACAAGACCUUGGGAAAAGGCAUGGUGGUGGGGAUGGAGGGAUAGGACAUUUUGUGGCCUCAGCAGGGCUCAUGGUCAUUCACCACCAAAAGCCAGGCCACACCCCUGCCUGUGGGGCAGUGGCUCUGCCUUCUUCCCGGCAUCCACACCCAGAGCCAGACCAUCCCCGUGGGUUGGUGGCUGGGAGCCUGCAGAGGUGGCGAGGACAUAGCUCUGUUCUCGCAGCCUCUGCUCCUUUUUUGAGGUGUUCCGUUUGGGCUGGACUCUGAGGGGCAGUAUUAGGAAGGGACGGAGUAGAAGGAUUCACUCCAUCCGGCGGUGCUGUCGUCUGCCGGAAGCCAUGCACUCUUCCAGGUCUACCCCUUCCCAUGCUAUGGCUCCUGACCAUUCCAGAUUGGAGGCCUUCGGGAAAGGCUUGAAGCCACUUUUCUUCAAGGAGGCAGGCUCUUUUCUUGCAUUAGGCAGUGACAACCCCCUGGCAAUAGAUUCUUAAAAUAUUCCUAUUUUGUAAAAUAACUGUCUUCUCCUGGAUUUUUACUCCACACUCUUCUCUGAAAACUCCCAGGUUCUUUCUCAUCUGGUCCCCAGAUCAGCUGAGGAAGGAGACUCGAUGCGUGCACCGUACAGGCAGGUCUCCCCAGUACCCCCGGGCUUUCCUGGUCGCUCCAGCCAUGAUCUGAGACCGGAGGGCCGCACCUCCAGGAGCCUGUAUCCUGCAGAAUGUUCUGUGUGCCUUUCAUCACUGUCCACAUUGGGAGUCCUUUGGUGGGGGAUGUGAAAAUUUCUGAACAAAAUUUUAAAUGCUUUUAUAUUGUGUUUUAAAGUUUAAAAUUCUUUCCUAUGUGUUGUUUCAUUGGAGCUUCAUAGCAUCUCAGUGAGGUGGGCGUUUUGUCCCGUUUUAUGAGUGCAAAGUGGAGGCUCAGACCAGGUGACGGCCCAGCCCCGCCUCUGGAACCCGUCUACUCGCAGCCUCUGUAGUAACCGGUAACAGGUCUCACCAAGCAUGCCUGCUGUUUACAGGGAGUGCUGGGCUGGGUAGAUCUGUGAGGCUGUGCUUUGUCCCUGCAGACUAGAAGGGUUGACAUACUCAGUAAUUGAGGUCAAGUAUUUUCAAAUUUGGGGUUUUUAUGGCUUUUAUCUGUGAGUCGUACACAGUACUCUGAAAUGGUUUAAUCAUGGCAGAUUUCGGUGACAAUCCAAAACACCUGUAGUACACACCAGGUCACAUCCAUUUCCUCAAAGAGCCAUGGAAACCAUGGUAAGGCCUUGGCCCUGGGACCAGUCUCAGGAUGUUGUGUAGAGAUUUCUGGCUCUCUUCCUCCAAAAAGUGGUGUGAGGAGAGCCAGGGUCUCAGAUUUCCUAACUGCCCCCUCUUUCCGCAUGGCCCAGGUCAGGGAAGGACCCAGAAGUGGUAACACUGCUUUCUCUCCUCUCUGCCUAGACCAGCGUGGUUAACUACAUUGACCAGAGGCCAGCGGCUGAAAAAAGUGCUCAGUUGUUCUUUGUGGUCUUUGAAUGGAAAGACCCUUUUAUCCAGAAGGUUCAAGACAUCAUCACCGCCAAUCCUUGGAACACAAUCGCUCUUCUCUGU